UACGUAGGGACCAAGCGUUGUUCGGAUUUACUGGGCGUAAAGGGCGCGUAGGCGGCGUGGUAAGUCACUUGUGAAAUCUCUGAGCUUAACUCAGAACGGCCAAGUGAUAGUGCUGUGCUAGAGUGCAGAAGGGGCAAUCGGAAUUCUUGGUGUAGCGGUGAAAUGCGUAGAUAUCGAGAGGAACACCUGCGGCGAAGGCGGGUUGCUGGGCUGACACUGACGCUGACAGCGCGAAAGCUAGGGGAGCGAACGGG
rnacentral:rRNA from 1 species